UGGCAUCCAGUCCACUUUACCAUCAGUGUUUAAGGAAACCAUCUCUGAUAAGGAUGACUGAGGAAGAGUACUCUUUGGCUUGUUGACACCAGCACAGCUGACACACCCAGAUAUCUGUUUGGUCUCCUGUGAACUUUCAACCAGGAUUUAAGGAUGCCACUCUGGUUAAAAGCUGAAACAACUUCAAGGAAACUUCAGGGAAAAGAGAAGGCCUGGAAUCUGAUCCUCCACUUCAGAGAACAGGGAGAAAAAAGUGCAUGUGAAAUACUACUACUUAUCCAUCUCCUGGCUCUGAGCAGUACAUGUCAGGAACAAGAGGGAAUUGUAGCUGGAAGACAGUAGAAGAGCCAUAGGACAAGUCUCUAAGAGAAGGAAGAAAAGGCGCAAUGAAAGAAAACAAGUUUAAGAUAGUAGAAAAGCAUUCAAAGACGGCAACCUGAGGUGGUGGAGUCUAUGGCCCUUCUCCUUGAAUCUGAGUGAAAUUAGUGAGUCUUUCAAUCCAAAGACUACAGUCAUACCUCAACUAUCUACAGAGGACUGGUUCCAGGACUCCCAUGGAUCCCAAAAUCCAAGGAUGCUUCGAAUCCCUUAUAUAAAAUGGCAUGGUAUUUGCAUAUAACCUACAUGCAUCUUCAAAUAUGUUAAACCAUCUCUAGAUUACUUAUAAUACCAAAUACAAUGUAAUGCUAUGUAAACAGUUGUUACAAUGUAUUGUCAAAGACAAGCUCUCCUUGCCAAUCCCUGACCAAAUGAGAGAUUCAUGAGCAAAAUAAAUAGUUGCUGAUAUUUAAGGCACUAAGUUUGGGGCAAUGUAUUACACAGCAAUAAAUAACUGGAACAGCAUAGUAAAUUCUAGUUAAAAAUACUAAACUACUAAGUUUUAGUUAACAUACAUGCUCAAGUUAAGGGUGUGGUAUACUAACAACUGCAACUUACUUUGAAAAGCAUAAAAAAAGACACUAGAAGAAGACAGGAUGGAUAGAUGGACAAGAUAGAAGACAAUAACAAAUAGAACAAAAUGUUGUGAAAUUAUAUUCUACAAUUAUUUUAAAGUCUGUGUGGUUUGAAAAAUUGUACGAUAAAAUGAAGAGUGAAAUAAAGACAUUUCCAUACAAA
rnacentral:lncRNA from 10 species